UCCUUGUGUGCUUGAUGUGCCAAAUGUUUUAUUUAAAGUUCUACAGGCUGUAACCAUAUAGGUUAGUUAUAUAUAGGCUGUAACCUUAUAUACUUAGUUGAUGAAAAUGAUCUCUUGCUUGCUGAAAUGCCUUCAGUUCGGGAAGGCUAAACCUGCCCUAGAGCUGUUGAUGCAGUUGUGCCAUAGUCUGUUGGAACGAUUUGUGCCAAACUUCUUGAUCAGGCUUCUGUGAGAGAAGUGUUUUUAAAACUACUGCCAGUAUUGGCCAAGUUUUUGGAUAUAUACAGCAGCCUAGAGCUCAGGGUAGGGUGGAGAGGAGCAUAAAGUCUCACCUCUCAUGUUGGACAUGGUUUGGGAGCUGUCACUGCAGUGGCUCUUCACAACUGAGGCUUGAGAGAUGUAUUUAUUUUUUUUACAGCAAGCCUGACAAACCAGGAACAGAAACGCUCGGCUUUUAGACUCCUUGAGCAUAAAAUAAACAAUGUGCUGUGAGUCACAGCACUGCCACUGCAUAACUGAGGGCAGCUUGCAAUUUUCUUUCUUCUUUUUUAGAAACGGACUAGUCAAAAGAUUGGUAUUGUUGAAUUUUGCUGUGCCUUCCAGGACAGAACAGCUGAUUUUCUGCCUGAUUAACCUACCACUUCGUGUUUCCUGAAGCCUUGAUCCAGUCUAUUUACAUAUAUUUGCCCCUCUCCGAGCAGGCAGCUCUGCAGCUGUGCUGGAAAGGAAAGGUGUGUUAGAUGACACUGUGCUAGAUAAGCAACCAAACCCAGUGAGAUCUCCCCACCUAGGCAGGUCACACUGGCUCGGGUUCAGGGCAGUGAAAUCCACUCUGAAGUGUACGAGGUGAUUAAUUAGAUGCUUUAGGUGGAUGUCUCGAGUUUUUGGAUUAAAGUUUGCAUCAAAGCCGAGCUAAGCUAACAAUACAAAUUCUCCACAGCAUCGUUAAUCAUCUUUAACUAUCCAGGCUAUGAUUGCAGAAUAGUUGCGUUGCUUUAUUGGAAAUAUAAAAUAUUUCCUGUGUGAAUAUAAACAAUUUACAUAACAGUGACAUUUUCCUUGUCAUUUAACUCCAGCGCUGUGAAACUGAAGGCAUUUAAUUAAUCUUGUUAACUUUGCAUGGUGAUUUACUAAUGAACUGCUUCAAUUAUUUAUCUUUUUUUUUCCUCCAAGGAGUGCUUAAGUUCAGGAAGCACAAAAUAACCUAACCUGAAGCCAGUAAAGCUGCAGUGCAAUCACUUUGCUCCAAGAGACUUCCAGCUGCUUAAAGCUGGCACUGCAUCUCCCCUGCCCCUGUUGGGAAGGGUACAGGGCAUAACCUAGGGUGUGGAGGUCCUGCGUUUGGGGCCUUGUGUUUUGGGACAGUUGUGCUUCUCUAAUUUCUGGUGGAGAUGUGCAAUAAAAGCAUGGUUUCGUUGUCCUGGUGAGACAAAGUGAGAAGAGAGGGGUGGCACCAACUAAAACCCAGCGCUGUCACCUCAGCGGUGCCCCACGGAAAAUUAACUUUGUGUGGGGGGAGCAGGGAGGACAAGGAUGUGAUGUGAGUUGCUUUAAUCUAAAAUAACUACCAAAAUUACUUAAUUCUCCUCGUGGCCUUUUUAAGCACUGGUGGUAGCAAUUAGUGGGCGGGAGAACAUGCUGAGAGUUGGGCUGUGUUUCUCCUUUCUGCAGAAGGUUUUUUCUUCGCUGCAAAUGCCAACCAAACUAAAAUGUGGAGGAAAUGGAGGUGCAGUCUCUUAUUUUUAAACUGGAGUACAGACAGUCCAAAUCCAUAGUAACUUUUUUUGGAUCUUGGAAACACUUCUGUUUGUACCAGCGAGAGACACCAACACCAAGCCUAAGGCUAUUGUUGAACCUAGAAGUUAAUGUGUUAGACUUCAUCCAUCUUAGAAUUUGGCAUUUAAUGCUUUGGGCCUUUUUUUUUUUUUUUUUUUUUUUUUCAGCAAGUAGUACAGAAACCUUUGCCUGUUCUCCAGCAUCUUUGUGCAGAAAUUGGAAAAUGCUUCUAUUUUUUCGAUUAGUCUUCUGAUAUGAGACUUCUUCCUGACAGUCAUGUAAGGAGGUCUUCAGUACAGAAAAGGAACAGUGUACUUUCUCCAUGCUUAUAGGAUCUCUCGUCUUCUAGUUUUGAAUGUGCAUUGCACUCAUUUCUGUGCCUGUCCCCUUCCUGUCUGUGACUGUCUUAGUAAAUCCCUCCUGUGAGGACAGUUUAUGCAUACGCCAAGGAGCAAUUUGCCAGACCAACAAAUAAUUUGCAUCUACGUGUGCUGUGAGAAUCUGAGUGCAUAUGGGAGUCUUGGAGUGGGUAACUUUAACUUGUGGUUCAGCUGUGAUAUGUUGCUUCACUUUUACCUCCUACCAGCAGCAAGAGUUGUUGCUCUUAGCCCAAUUUUUUCCAACCCUAACCUUACUGUUAGCUUGGCUUGUUAACUAAUUCAGCAGGAAAAAAACCUUUUGGGAAGGAGGAGUUACUUUUAGGAAAACAAGUAAUUAUUUCUGGUGGGGUCUGGCAAGUAGCAGUGCCCAAGGCAGGGGCAGGAUUGCCCCCAUGGGCUGCAAGGAGUGGCUGGAGUCUGGUCUGUCCCCCUCACAAGGGGAGAAGGUGCUUGGCUCAGAGUCGUGUGUCCCUUCAGCCUUGUUUAUUGAGAUUUUAACCUCACUCAUAUUGUACUUGAAAAAUCUCAUAGCGGUAUUACUUUAUAGUUGUCUCAAGCAAGCAUGUGUAAUUUACAUGGGCAAAAAAUGUAAGAGGACUCUGCUUGAAAUGACAAUUUUCUAUGAAGUUGCCAUGCAUUACCAUGUGCUUCAUGAGAGGUAACUAGCUUACUGAAAGCUUUCUCGAUUGCUGUCCAACACAACAUUUUAAGAGGUAUUUUUGAGACUCUCUUAAAUCUCUUCUCUCUGCCACUCCAACAGAAGACAUGCUUCAAAUUCAAGAGACUUCUCUCCCGAGAGAGCUGUUUGUAGCUAGCCUUUUCUUAGGCAGUCUUUGUACUAAACUACAUCUAGUCAGUACAAGUCACAUCCGAUCAGCAGCACUACCUGUGGUAUAAGGUAAAGGGAUGAAUGAUUCCGGUCAAGCCCUUCCCAGCUGCAUCUGGUUUUAAUAACAGGAGGCCCAGUGCCUCCUGCUUAGUUUAUGCUGGCUCUAGUAUUUGUCUGAUCAUCCAGUAAAUCAAUUCAGCUUGCUAAAAGACCAGAAACUAAUCUGGCAAAAAGUCUGGGUUUGCCUUUUUUUUUUUUUCCUUCUCACUUUUCCUGGGAUCAUAGAUGGGACCAGCUUGCCUUCUUAUGAAAUGGGGUUAGUGGAGAGGGGGGCAGGGGAAGUGAGGCUGCUCCCACUUGCCAAGUGGCAAGCUGUGUAAUUCAGCUCAGCCAUGAAGCAAAAGGCUGCAAAACCACAGCCUAAGCUGAUCUAACUGCUGGCUGCUGCUCAGGUCAGUCUCCGCUAACCGAGCUCAACAAAAGGCACGUCAAAUGCCAGGGGGUAGGAGUGCUGGAUCCAGCGCUCAUGCUGGCUUAGACGGCUGUGGAGCUACAGCCAGAGCAGUGGAUGAACAAAAUGAACUCUGUAGCACUGUGCUGUAUGGUAAAGUCUUCUGAGUUUGUCGUUCUGAUGAUGAUGAAUUGGUCUGACGAUGAGCAUUUUCAAUUUCUUACUCUCUUAGGCUUCCAUACGUCAGAUCUGAUACUUGGCAAUACUUAAGGUGCUAGUGUGCUUUCAACACCAGAUUUCAGGCUGUGCAUGAGUUAUGAUGCAUCUGCUUUGUGCAAGUGUUCUAGCUCUUCCUUUUUUAGUGACAGCAAGCCCUACUUUGGGCCUGAGGAAUCUUCAGAGCUGAAGUAACUCUGAAUAAGUCUUGUGCAUUGAAUACUUCUAAACUAUUCAGGACCAGGGUGCUGGUUUUUGUUGUUGUUGUUUUGUUUUGUUUGUUUGUUUCUGCUAACUUUUCUACUGUUCUUAUAAGAGCUAUAUGAAUCAUGACUGUCUAACUUUAUAAUAUUUUGUAUCCUGGAUAUUCUCUGAUAUCUUAAAUAAAUAAUACUGUUGUCUGAAGGUAUCCAGAAAGAAUUGUGACUGCAUGCAUAUGCAGAUAUUCUUAGGAGGUGUAAUACUCCCCAGUAUUCUUGGGACAUGGACAAGCUACCUCAGCUCAUUUUGAUGAUAUAUUGUAAAGACUUUAUCAUUGUGAUUGCUUUCCAUGCUUCCUACCCCUUUCAGCAUUUUCCACACAAUGCUAUUGUAAGAGCUAUCUGCUGCUGCACACCCUGACUGUGCUUAGCAGUGAACCUGAGUGAGGUUUUUGAACCAGGAAUUUUGAUGCUUGGCUCCAACAUACUUAUAGAAAGCACUGGCCAAUACCUGAACUUUAGUUUUGUCUCUGUAGAUCAUGUUUCAUACAUGGAUUCAAAUCUUGGUGCUAGCUAUGGUUUGUUCAUGUAAGCUGUCACUAGUUCCUUGCUUUCCUAUGGCUGAAGAAACUUGAAGUGUAAUGGUUAGUAACUGCUUUGCUAAAUGAACCAAACAUAUCUGAAAUCUAGGUGACACCAAGUAUGUCUGGUUGUGUUGGUAAAGUGCAAAUGUAACAUUGGUAGUGAGGUAGCUACUUUUUAUAUGUGUGACAAAAAAACCUGUAAAUACCUUACCAAAAGUGGAGAAUAGUGUAUUCAAAUACAACCUUGUAAUUUCAGCAGACUUAAAAUGUAAUCAGCUGUCUUGGCAGAUGGCCAAGGACACAGAAGGCUCCUGGAAGACUUCCAGGUGCUAAUAGUGUAUUUUGAUUAAAUUUAACUAUGGACACUGAGUCUGGGUCUUCAUAUUUCUGUAUGUGUUAAAAUGAAUGUUCUAAAUAUUAGUAUUUCAUUUAAAAAUCUGUUUUAAUACUCAAAAGAUCAGGUAUCUGGUAUCCUCAUGACAUAGUUCUUCCCUAUGUCAAGCACAAUAAGGGCUGAAACAUCAGUGUUACGUGAGUAUGUAGUCCACCGCGUUACAUUUCCUAGGGUUCCAUAUACACACACACACACACAAAAAAAACAACUAGGCAUUUCAAAAGCUUUACAAUAUUUGUCAGCAGCCUCAGAUCCUCCCAAGAAACAUUGCUGCAUUUGUUCUGAAGUCUGUUUUAUUGCUGGUGUAAUGAGCUAUUAAACAAAAAAAUCCACCAUAGCAGAAUUGUGGUGUGGUGGAUGGGGCCUUUGACAAGGCUUCAGGCUUGUAGGUUGGCCCCAGGCCUGCUGGAUCAGUUAUCUGCCUGUCCAUUUUUCUAUUGGUGAAAAGGUUGUAAAUCACAGAAUCAUUUAGGUUGGAAAAGACCUCCAAGAUCAUCAAGUCCAACCAUUAACCUAGCACGGCCAGGUCUACCACAAAGCCAUGUCCCUAAGCACCACAUUACACAUCUGAAUACCUCCGGGGAUGGUGACUCAACCACUGCACAGUGUGCUCCAAUGCUGCACAACCCGUUCAGUGAAGAAAUCUUUGCUAAUAUCCAAACUGAACCUCUCAUUGAGGCCAUUUCUUCCUGUAUCUAUUCUUGCUUGGGAGAAGAGACCUGCUGCAACCUCCUUUAUGGUAACUGUAAAGUACAAGGAGGUCUCCCCUGAGCCUCCUCUUCUCCAGACCAAACACCCCCAGCUCCCUCAGCCGCUCCUCACAGGACUUGUGCUCCAAGCCCCUCACCAGCUUCGUAGCCCUUCUCUGGACACGCUUCAGGGCCUUGAUGUCCUUCUUGUAGUGAGGGGCCCAAAGGUGAACACAGUACUCAAGGUGUGGCCCCACUCUGCUGAGUACAGAGCAACAAUCACCUCCCUGGUCCAAAGCAAUGGAAUGACAGGGCAAGCCUUCAUGCUUCUGGAUGUGUCAGUGUAGAGAACACAUUAAAGUGAGGUGGCAGAAUGAGGUGGUUCUUUUCAUUUAAUUUAGAAAAAUUUGAAAAUUUCUCACAUUUCAGACCCUGAAGAAUAAAUAUGUAAGAUUUGGUAGGCUGCUGUCAAAGAUGAAGGUAGCUGUAAAAGUGCAUUCCUGUUAAAAUGUUCACAAAUGUAUCUCUCUUUGAUGCUGUACCUAGCUUGGGAGAAGGGGGGGAAGUAGAUUACUGUAAUAUUUGCAGGAGUGCUGGUGUGAUCAUGAGAGCAGGUGACUGGAUGUGGGAUUAGUUCAGCUCUUCUGUGUAGAAGUGUAUUAGGAGGUGCUUGCAUUAAGGGAUUGUCACGGUCAAGAAGUCAGUCUAACUGAAUUCAGGAGCAAGAAAAGUGAAAUAAUGCUUUCCCUGGAAAAUAUUCUGGACAACUGAUGCAAACUGUAACUGCGUAAAUGUUUACCAAGUGAAUGGGUGUGCAUCAGUAAACUUAUCGUAAAGACAAGUAUUUAAGGAGCCUUCAGAUAAAGUGUCUUCAAAAGAAAUAAAGGCUGCCUAACUGAAUGAGUGGAGAAGUCAUUUAGGUUCUUAAUCCUCGCUUGGUUGUUUUUUGUUCCCAGUUACUUGAAUAUAAUUGCAUUGUCACUGCAGUUAUGUCACUGUAUUGUCUAGAGACGUUUCUAACAUCAUUGAACUGCCCUUGUCAUUCCAUCAGUCUUAAGUUCUGCAAUAAAAUUUGCAGUGUCUCAGAGCACCAUUAGAUAUGCUACGAUAUCUUAUUGUAGAGGUCUGAUCUUUAAAUCAUGAUUUCUUUUAUUCAUUAAAAAGGCCUGAUUCAUUAUUGCAUUUUUCUUUUGAUUCUUGCGCUGGUUAGUAAAAUUAAUUUUCUAGUUAGCUUGCAAAUAAUGUUGUAGUUGAUUAGGCAGGUGUUUGUGUAGCCAGGCUUCUCAGCUCAUGCUAAGCUUCACCGUGUAUCUGAUAAGACCGCAGCAAUAUUUAGCACAUCUUUAAACAAGACUCCUAUGUCUUUGCUCAGCAUUUUUGAUGUUGAAGAGAUGAAUCAAGGCUGUAUAAUGACGGGAGGCUAUUGUGUGCAAAACAGCAUCCUGGCUGUUAAAGAAAUGGGAAUGUAUAUUGUGCAGAGGGGUUAGAAAAAUUAUCUGGAGGCUAAAGCUAAGGGAGGUAAAACGAAGGAGCUUCAUUCUAUCCAUCACUGAAAAACAUACUGCUAAGUGACUACGUUUUGCUGAUGUGCUGGGCAUGAUGUAUAUGUUCAUUUCAGUAUGUUUUAAAGACUAAAGAAAUAUUGAGUACUUGGAUGCCAAGCAUGCAUUUUGUUUGUAUGUUAAAUGUGCCAAGUAUUAAAAAUCUUAUUUUAAACACUUUUUUUUUUUUUUUUUGAGGGAAGACUGAAAAAUCAUGUUUGCUUUGAGUAUUUGCAAAUCUUUUGUGCGCUGUGGGUAAAGCAGUGCCCUGCCUUUAAACUCUGAAUCUCUAAGAAACUGUUCUGAAAUGUGCUAUCCAUAUAGUAAGUAUUCUAGGAACUGAUGAGAAAAUUAAUUCUAUCACUAUUGCAAGUAUAGAGCUUGCUCCGUGGCAUUACAUAUUCAUACCUGUUUUGUUUAAGAACUGAUGCACAGUCUUUAACAAUUAUUCAAUACACGUUUUUUGGAUUGAAUGUAAAUUCAUAGUUUUCCUUCCUCCUGUAGAGGCCUCAAUACAAAAAGUGACAGUAACUUGUUGCUCCAAGGUGGUUGCAUGAAAUACAUGAAGAAAUACCUGAUACAAGGUGGGAAGAACAGUUGUUCCUGUACAUAGCUGCUGUGUAAUUUUUAGAGGGGAAUUUGUCCUAUGUGUCAGCACAGGACCCAUCUCCUUAAAACUAAUGUUUCUCAGGAGUUAAAAUACAUGUUUUAUUUUUGGUAAAGUUUUUAUUUUGAUUAAGUGCACCACCUUUAUCCACUACAUUCAGUUCCUGUUGUGCACAUCCAGUCAUUCAGUGCAAGCAUCUGACCAAACCAAAAAAGUUAGGUAACUUGCAUAUCCUCAGCUUAAGUUGUAAGUAAACAAGAUGAGGCUGUUUUAAAUUACUGAUUUAUGUAACUCUUUCAAUCUUAUCAAGUAAUCUAUUUUUAGUGUUCUUAGCAAAAGUUCCUGAGGUGCAUGAGGGCCUCAACUGCAAAAUUGUGUAUAGGGAGCACUCCAUAUUAAAGGAUCAGGUUAAAGAUGAGCAGUUACUAAUUCCUGUAGGAAAUGCUUCAGUUCAAAAUCUGUAUAAAUAUGAUCUUCAGAGUUAAAUACGGCAAAUGUCUGUUGGAAAUGAUCUUAGUCUGCUCCCCCCAGACUUCUCAAAUGUUUAAGCCAGGAUCCUGACUGAAUUGACUUUUUUUUUUUUUUUAAUAAGACCAAUUACCUGCUGUUGUACAACGCUGAGUCUUCUCUGUUUGAGGCUUGGCUAAUGAAUGCAUGGCUGCAAAAUAAAGAACAGUGCUGCCCUUUUGGGAUGUGUGGCACUGAUCAAUGGUAAGAAUGACAUUAAGAGCCAGACUAAUCUUGGAAGGAAAAUGAGAUUCUCAUGGUGGCAGAGAGCCGAUCUGGGUCCUGGGAACUGCAGUGUGCUGGGCACGGUGGUUAAUGUAAGCAGCUCACCUAAGCUUGAGGUGCUGUGCACUGACAGCUUCUAGUGCAAGCUGUGGGUUUAGCACGAGCUCAGAUGUCUGCAUGCUGUGUUGCAGCCUGCGGGGCUUUUUUGUUUCCUGUGGUAUUGUAUAUGUGUUGUUUUUUGUGUUUCUAACUAGUGUUCAGACACAGCAGUUCUCAGAAAGGGUGAUGGAGGUAUUUUUCAUGUCUCCGUUUCAGAAGGUGGGAGAGAACGGCUCUGUUCACCUGCUUCUUCACUGCAUUUCUCAGAAAUCUUUAAUUGUCCUUUAAAGCUCUUCUGGCUAUGCAGGAACUCUUCCAGAAGGCAGAAAACAAGCAAGAGCUUGACUGCAGCCUCCCCACCCCCAAGCCACAUACUUUCUAUCUGUUAAACUCUGUACCAGAGGACAGAUCCUCAAUGACUUUGCUCUUGUCCAGGCUCUGCUUCUGCUGGGGAGCCAGGCAUUGGCAAGUGGCAUCUUUAAUGAAAAUGAGUGGUUUGAUUGCUUGCCUGGGGAGCAACCUAUGGGAUUAAUGUAGAACCUGAUCUGUUCCUCUUUGUUGCACAUUGGAGUGCAGCACCCUGUGCUUCUGAACUGCUAACCUACCUGUAUGCUCUUCCAGGUGAAUCCCUUCACUUUCCUGCAAAGUGAUUCACUCCAUCUCCCCUUGUCCCUAAACUCCUGUACUGCUAUAGACCCAAGGCAUGAAAUGAAAACAGAUGGUGGUGCUGCUAUAGCUUAUCCCACAAAUGUAAUGUACCAGUAUGUGAUAAGACAUGUAGAUAGCCCAUCUGUAAGCAACAUAAAUGUGAGAUAUGUGGGUAAUGUUAAUGAUUGCAACUAAUCACGUCUGUGAGCAUAAAUGUACGGUUUUUACAUGUCAUCUCAUUUGAAAAUGUGUUUCCCAGAUUAAUCUUGUUUCUGUAUGAGCUCUUCUGAAGCCUUCUGUACCCGGAGUUACUGGUGCAGUGUGGCUGGUGUAAAGGCACUCUGCUGAGAGUAGUUCACAAGUAGCAAGCUGCUGCUGUGCAGUUGUUUUGUGGUAGUAGUCUGGGUUUUAUAACAAAAUACGGUGAGCUUGUUUGUGAAUGAGUUUGUGCAGUUUGUCAAAAAAUCUGCAUGGACUCUGUCUACAAAAGUACAUCAAUCUCUGAAUGGAUUGACUUCCAGUGAACUGCUGCACUGGCUAGAUGAUGAAGCUUGGGGCUGUGUGUGAUUAUUUUUUUUAAUUAAAAUAUAAACUACUUAUGUAGAAACAGGGUUUAUUGCAGUGAGAGGAGGAGCUGGCCAACAAAUAAAGUUCAGCUACCACUUAAAUCGCUGCCAGAUAUUAUUUUUUUUGAGAGAAACAGACGUAAAUCUAACUUUAUCAAGCCCAUGCUUCUGUCUCUGGAUAUUUUAACCCCUUUUUUUUUAAAGGGGCUGAAUCAUAUAAUUUAAGGAUCAGUGGAAGUGUCUGCUUGUGUUACAGCAGUAUUGUGGACUAGUUGUGCUUACUCUAAACUUGUCAUCAUAUAGAAAGGCUCAAAUAAAUGCUAGGUGAGAGUAGACUACUUUGAUUUUUUUUUUUAUAGGAAAAUUUAAGCAUUUCUAAUGUGUACAAUCAAAUACAAUAUCAAAUACAAUCCCAAAGUCUAUCUCAUUCAAAAAGAUGCUACUAAAAAAUGGAGGUGAAAAAACGCAAACCACUUUAUGAAGAAAAUAACUAGACAACUCAUAAGACCUAGAUCUCUCAGUGUGACAAGGAGACAGAUACAGGACAUGAAGAUUUUAUCAAAGCUGACCAUAACCAUUCAGAAGUGAGAUCUUGGUGUUAUGCCACCAUGCGAUGGGAAUCCAACACGCAAUUGUUGUGAAUUACUAGAAGAGGAACAAAGAGGAAACCAGACAAGGUUGCCAUGGCACUGUGUAAAUCCAGCUUGCAGUGACAUCCUGAAUGCUACAAUCCUCUCCUCGUGCCAAGAAAUACAGUAGAGCUGAAAGCUCAGAUGAUGGCAACAGCAAUGGUCAAAAACUUGGAACAGCUCUGAAGAAAAAAAAAAACUCCUUAAUGAGUCAAGACUCUUGUGUGGAAAAAGAUGACUGAUGAAUAUGUAAUAAGUCUUAAAAAUCAAGAGUUAAGCUGAGGAUUGGGUAAGAAGCAACUUUUGACUUUUGCCAUGCAAGAUAUGGGAGCCAGGUUCAAGUUGCAAGCAAGUUGUGGUUCUUGCAGCAAGGUGUCAAACUCGUUGCUAAAGGGUAUUGUGGGUGCUAAAACUUUACGUGGGUUAUAGUGGAUGAAUUUUUAUUAAAUUAACCCAUUGAGUCUUGCUAAAUAGAAACUACAUUCUGUGCUAUGUGGAAGCCAGGGAAAAUUGCAUGUGUGUUCACUUCUUACACUGUUCCCCAAGGUAUUUAUUUAUAGGUGCUGUCACACAGAAGGCUGGGCUGGGUGGGCUUUCAGUUUUAAGCAUCUGCUCAUGUUGUGCUGUUGUUGCACUGUGACCUUGUGCUAUAUCUCAGACAGGGCUGCUAGGGACACCUGGGGGUCAUGUCUUUGAAAGUCCAGCGUGUUAAGGUUGUUAUUUUGAUGGGUUUGCUUCACAUUAAAAGGUGCUCACAGAAGAAUUUUUAUGGAAUUUUCUACCUUUACAUUACGUAUCUCAAGUUUGUCUAAAAUUUAUCUGUUAAAUAUGAUGCUAUUCCUAUGAAGAGUUGCAAAUUUGAGGUUUUAGAUAAUAUAAGCUAUCUUUAAUCUUUGAUCACAAAUCACUGUGAUAUACUAUAGGCUUCAUUGCUGUCUACAUUGCAAGAAGAGCACUGAAUUUUAAACUGUCAAGGUGAUGGACAUCUGCUUUGUCAGUGGCAAGUUAUUGCUACUCUAGUUCAUAAUUUAUGUAUAUUUUCUGUAUUAUUUCUUAAACUUUUUUAGCACAGUAGAAAUUUAAUUGAAUUCUUAUGAUCUUGCUGUAGUGAAUUUGAAACUUAAAACACUAGUACUGUGUGGGGUGUUUUUGGUUUUGUUUUUCUUGCUCUGACGGCUUGCUGGCAAAUUCUCUGAAGUUUGGUUAUGUGUUUCAUAUUUGUUACUAAAAUAGUCUAAAUAAAAAUGUUUCUGAUCAGAUGUUGCAAUGUGUAGUUACUCGAAUGAGCUCACGCAGAGGGUGCUGCUCUGAUAUAACUUAACGUUCCCUUCAUUGGUUUAACCUGGGAGACUUCAAUCAAUUUUAUGUUAGAUACUGUACAAAAGGUUCAUAAGGGUUGGUAAGGGAGGCAACUGAUAAUCACGACCCGUGUUCAGUUCUCGCUUUACCAUCUAAUCUUCAUGCUUAAAGUUGCCCACCUAGAUAAUCGAAAUGCUGAACCUUACUUUCCCUUGUAAAAGAAUGGGUAGAGGGAAAGCUCUGCUGAGCAGUUUAUUGUAGGAAGUAAAUCUUGCCCUUGUCCUCAAUGCACCACCUCAGCUAAAAUUAAAGAUUGCUUCCUCGAUUCAAGUAAUAGCAGCAGCAGCUAGGUUAAUAGCUUUUUUCAAACACAGGAAUUUUACGGUCAAGUUUCAAGCCUUUACCUCAAGUGCUGCAUCAUCCAGCAGUGACUGAGUGCUUGUUUUUAUGGACCACUGGCCUCCAUCAGCGUCUGUGUAUUUCUGGUGCUGUGUUAGUUCCCUCUUACUUCUUUCUGAAAUGGUGACUAAAAUCUAGUCUUGCAUGGAAUAAUACCACCAUCAUUGGCUUUGUGUUAGGAGAUGGCUGAGAACGAGCUGCUAUUUUAUUUUUUUUUUCCUAAAACUUUUAGCUGAGGAGAUGAAUAAAGUACAAAGUUAUGAGAUGUGACCUUUUAUCAAAGUCCAAAGCUGCCGCUUGUUCCAUUUGAGACUUAAUGGAAAAAAUGUAAGGCUGAAGGGAAAUAAAGGAAUUACAGCGAAUGGUCAGAGAUGGACACUGUGUAAUCUCUUUACAGUAUCUAACAAAAACAAUAAAACUGCUUUGAUGCUUUGCUUGGGCUUUAACAGGAUCUGGGCAGAGUUACUAAUCUGAUUUUUGUGACAUAAACAUCAAAGCAUUAAACGAAAAUAACGAUUACUUCUGAGUAAUGUGUAAUAUGUGCAGUUAAAGGCUUCCUGGUUAGCGUGCUCGUAUUAUUUAUAGGAAAGUUUUUAUUAUAAAGUAUUUUAAUAAUUAAAGUAGAAUUUCUUAUGACAGCAUAAAGGUUACAUGGUUUAUAUUCAGCAUAACGUUUUCUGGUGGACUUGAGGCAUCCAGAUAGAUUGUGACCAGAUUCUGUUGCCCUCUGUGCCAUAAAGCACAUCUUACAUGCUCUGUGAGACUUCGUCCUUAAAGUUGCUCAGGUAAAUUGAGCUGAUGGGAAAAGAUGACUUGAAAAACAUUAAAGAUGUACUUUCCAAUAGAAAAGCUCUUAAACCUCUCUACUGUUUCCGUAUGCGGUACUAGUAAUAAAUAACCUUCCAUGUAAGUCAGUCACCAGUUGCUAUGCUUGGGAGAGGAUGGAAAUACACCUGGUUUUCUUGUGUGUGCUAACUUCUCCCUCUUUCUGUGUUUCUUAGGGCAGUGAAUAUUUGACCUUGUUUCACUUUAAGGGGUUGUUAAGCAUCUGUAACACCUUUAAAAAGAAGAUAGCAUUUGUUGCACGGCUUAACUCAAUUAUUCUUGAAUUAAGACUGUAAUGGUCAGUCUCAAAAACUGAGAGACCUGUGUAUCACCGAGUCUGAUGGAGGAAAACCUUUCCUGGGAGAUGGGGCAGCUAACUCUCAUCUUCUGAGUUGCUUUUGAGGAUGCACGGUGAAGCCAGUGGUGGCAGGAGUUGGCUGUGCAGUAACACUGGAAGGGAAGCCAGGCUGUCUUCACCCUUGGGUGCCAGUAGGUGCGGGACAGCAGGCUGAAACCAGUAAGCACUGAUACCCCAACCUACCCUCCUACCCGUAUUUGUCUUUUGCUCUAAUAUGGAAUACCUCUUACCCUUUUCUUUAUUAACCUCUGAUUGUUUCUUAAGUUUUAAAAGUCAUCAGACAGUGGUAUUCUAAUAAAAUGUCUUAAUGUUGUUCUUAAGCUUCUCUUAAGGCUAGGAGGAAUGUGUUGGGACUUUCCGCACACAGAAGUAUAUUUAGACUUCAAAGUUGAUGUUUGUGUCAUGGAAGUAAUCUGCAAACUGAUAGGCAGAAUACCUCCGUACUGCAACAUCCACUGCAUGGGAGCGCACAAGUGAUUUCAGGCUGGAUUGUACUUAAAAGGGAUCACAGAAGUUGAUUUAACUCCUUAUGAUAGCAGAAAACUGUCCUGUUCCUCCUUCCCCUUUGCAAGUUGCAGGGAGCAGGCUUGUGUGGGAGGGAGCAAGAUCGUCCCCUUUGGGCACUCUUUGAGCUAUUAUAUAGGCUCCAUAAAACGCAAUGAGCCAUGCUCUUCAAAUCCACGUGGAUUUUAAGGAAUUUAGCACCUUCUGAAGUCUGAACUUAAACUGUUGCUAAAAUUCAGAAACAGACACCCAUCUUUAAAGUAAAGAUAGGAACGUUUCCCUGCAUGUUUUGCAGCCUAAACACAGCAGCAAUCACUGUAAGUGACCCCCAGAAAGAAAAACACUUACGCUUUGCUGAGACAGAAGAACAAAAUCUACAAAAAUAAAAAUGUAAGAGCUUGGUAAUGCCUGGGAACUUUUAAUUCUUAACAUUUCUAUUAACUUAUAAUGUUAGAUAAAUUUUCUCCCUAAAACUCACUUUUGCCUUCAGCCUCCUAGAAAUCCAACUCUUGUGGUGGAGAUGGGAAAUUGCUGCUAAUGGGAGUUUAGGUGUCAAAACAGUAUCAGUAGGGUUUUUUCAGUAGUAUUUUGAGUUGAGUGGUGAAAUGAUGGGUCCUUCCACAGCCCAUGUAUAUGCUUGAAUGCAAGCUACCACAAAGUUGCGAAGGCACUGUGCCCUCAUCCUAAUAAAUGGUACGUGCUGUUUUAUUCCAGUACAGCCCUGUAAAGUAAUGCAAGCAGAGUGUUUUGGGGAGCAGGAAGGGGAUGGCUGCCUUAUCCCCUUCUGUUGGAACUGGGAACAGCACGGUUUCAAGAUUCUAAUGCAGCAAGCAAACUGAAGUGUGAAGAAAAUAACAGCACUUAAAAAAACAGUGCUUUCCAGUGGUGUGUUCCAGUAAGGACAAUGUAAUGCCUACCUGUGUGAGCCAGAUUGCUUAGCCCAUUUUUAAUGAAAAAUUGUACUGCCGGUAGAAAGAGUUGAAGAGAAAAUGUAUAAAUAAAUAAAUUUACUCUUGGUUACUAGCAUUAACCUCUUACUGUCCCCAUCACUUGGAUGUUGGAUACGGAUGCCAUUUUUAUAUUGAAAAGAAACUAAAUGCUCAUCAAUUGUAUUUGAUUGGCUCUAGUGAAUAACUGGAUUAAAUCAAGCAAUUUAGAUUGUAUAUAGUGAUUUAAUCACAAUAAAGCUCUGGUUCAGCUCCCUCUG